ensembl:lncRNA
CUUGCUGGGGUGUCAGCAGAGCCCCCCACCCGCUUGGUGCCCCUGGUGGGCCCUCCGUGAGGACCUGGGCCCCAGGUGAGCGGGGCAGAAGUUUUGUCCUAGUGGCCCCCAGGGUCCUCACUGCCCACGGUCGCGUGGGGCGGUGGGCCAUGCCGUGACAGGGUAGCGGGGUUUUGAUGGCUGGGAUCUGAUGCCACCAGGAGAGGCAGGUGGGGCCCAGGCUGAUGCUUCCUGGAACUGCCCCACCCUGCCCGAGCACAGUCCAGGGUUUGAUGCCCUUCGAACUGCACUUGUGAUCAGUAUUGACAGGCGACAGGGUAAUCAUUAACUGCGGCCAGGGGCUGGGCCAACGGCUCAAAAGGCGCUGGGCCCAGAGUGGGCCCACUUCCUCCUCGUGCCGCAGGGCCAGCCCAGCACCCAGGUAAGAGCCUUCCCUGUGGGGUUAGGUCCCUGCAGCCCCUCUGCCCACCCACCCUGGAUGCUCCCGAGCCCAGCCCUUCUAAGAAGAAAGGAAGGGCCCCGAGGCAACUCCUGGGUGACCCAAGCGAGUCCUUUCUGCGCCUGGGCCUCGGUUUCCAUCGAUGGAAACCUGAGUGGACAGCAGGGGGAUCUCUGCCGCUGCCCCUGCCUCUGCCAGACCACGUACUUGGUCUUGCCUACAGGUCUUCAAAAGAACCUUCUCUGUGACCUUGGGCAGCCUCCUCUGCCCCCCAGGGCUGGUUUCCACUGCUGGGAAAGGGGUCCAUAGCCUAGGUCCACUCUAAAAGCUCUGAGUCCCAGGUCUGCUUUCUCCCUAGAAGCUUUGGGUUCUCCAAAGACCCCUAGGCCUCACAGGACUACUAUUGUAAGGGGCCAGAGCCUGUUUGGUGGGGAUGCGAACACACUGCAGGAGAGAGGGCUGUUCCCCAGGGGCCCUGGGCCAGAUCAGGGACCCCAACCAACACCCGCUUCCUCUCCCAACUGGGGGGACAGACCCAAAGCUGGAAGGGGAGGUAGCUCCGCAGCAGCGCUGGCCAGGGUGACCUCACACACCCUGGUAUGAGAACAGCAGCACUCAGAGAGGUUAAGCCACUUGCUCAAUGUCACCCAGCUCCUAGGACCCUGCUGGCUGUCGGGCCACUGAGGUGCUGAGUGCUCUCCCAGAAGGCAGCGGCUGAUAGCCCUGUUCUUAGCAUUCUGUGGGGGGGUGAUGUCUCAAGCACCUUCUCCCAUGCUCCCCGCCCCCCAGCUCUGUCUCCUUCCCAUUCUCUGCCUGCCCCUCUCAUCGCCCUCUCUUGGCGCCCCUGCCUCAGUCUUCCGCUUUCUCUGUCUCCCCUUCCCUGUCCCCCCACCAUUCUCUCCAUCUCAUCUCCAGCUUCGUGUCUGGUGCCCUCCUCAGGGUUCUGGGCAUUCAGAGGCCCCUGGAGAUCGCAGGUGCCCAGUGGUCCCUCGCUGUGUCUCUGCCCUGUGGCUGCAGCAGGAAGGGUGGGCAAAGGGCAGAGAGUGGAGGCCGCAGCGGCAAACCUGAACCUGGGGCCCAGCUCUAGUUGGGAAAGAAACGAGGAAACAAGGGACUCGGGGAGAGGGUGUGGGGGUGUCAUUGGGCACAGGCUGCCCGGGAGCUGUAAACGGGAGCCACUCCCAGCUUUAUGAGCAGAUCUGGGGUUGAGCCUGGACUUCGCCCAGAAGGAGUGCUGGCAUCAGACUUCAGGUGUGGGCCCCAGAUGAUAAGGAGCCUCCAUAAAAAGACUGGACCGGGGGCCGUGAGGACAGGGCCCAGGCCUCCAACUGGCUCCCACCCCCUGUAACAGCAACUCCAUGUGGAAGUACCUCUAGUUCCAGUGGGGCUGCUGUUAUCUGGGGUGGGGGCCACGCCCACGGAGGAGGCAAAGCGGCGACUGCCCAGCACACCAGCAGGGACCCCCACCCCCAUGGCCACACUCCCAGCACCAGGGUGGCGAAGGGCGGUGGGCUGUGAGCAGGCUGCCAAGACCGAGUGCACAGGGCUCUGACCUAUGAAUUGACAGCCAGUGCUCUUGUGUCCCCUCUGGCUGCCAAUUCCAUAGGUCACAGGUAUGUUCGCCUCAAUGCCAGCCACCAGGACCUGCGGGGGAAGGGGCGGGUGGAAGGUGCCCUGGCGGGCCAUGAAACCUGUCUACCACAGUCCUGCCCCCUUCCCACCUUUCCACUUUCCUUCUUGCGUGGGGAAAAUGAAUGAAUUGCUUUAGGGCUCCACCUCCACUGGCUGUGCUGUGUCUCUGCUCAGUCCGUGCGGUUCCCUCUGCCUGAGCACCCUUCCCAGCCUUUUUGUCAGGCUUACUUACUAUUAAUAACUGUUCCAAGCUUGGCUGGAUCAUUUGCUGCCUCCAGGAAGCCUUCUUAAAGCCCACUUGACCGGAAGUGCCCAGCGAGCACCCCCAGCACCCCAUGCUUCCCCCAAGCACUGCAUUCUCCCCAUGUUUCUGUUCUCCCAUCACCUAUGAGCUCAGCCCCCAGCCCAAGCCGAGCCCAGGUGUGUGCUCAAUGAAUGUCUGGACCGACCCUGGGCCUCCACCUUGCACCCUGAGGAAGCACCGCCAACGGUCCAAUGUGGCCAAGAGGAGCCAAGGACUCUGGGUUCCAGUUUGUGCUGGAGCCCCCCAGGAGCCAGGCCCCUGCUCCGCCCACCCCUUCUGCUCUCUUGACUGCCCAGGCCCCCGCUGUGGACAGAAGCACGGCCCCCACCCCUGCUCCAGCUCCCAUAGUAGCCUCACUCCUGCCUGGUUUUUAUAACAUGGGGUUCUGAGAACAUUUUCAUUUGAAUAAAAAGGUUUCUGCUGCUAAAAAAUUAGUAUUUAAACAUUGGAAACACAGACCUAGGGAUAAAGUCCAAAUUGCUUAGUAAAUGGAAUGUUUUUGAGCCCUUUCUGUGUGCUGGGAGCUUGCCUACAUCAAUCAUCUGGAAUCACCCCAGCAACCUUGUGAGGUAACUGCUGUGAGGCUGGUCUGGGAGGUGAGAACAUGGGCUCAGAAAGGGUGAGCAUCUCUCUAAAGUCACAGAGCAAGUCAGCCUUCUCCCUCUAAGGACUUGGCGCGGCUGGCCAGGCAGGGAUCGGCCCCUUUCCCUCGCUCCUUCCCACAUCAGCUUUGCUCUCAGUGUCCCGUCAGCCCCACCCCCUCUGCUGAGGGCCCUCAGGGAUGACCCUCCUAUGACUGAACGAUCUGCUCCCCUCCACCUGCACCAGCUCCUUGGGCCUCUCUGUCUCCUUAUCUCAUUCUGUGUGGGGCUGAGAACUCUAAGAGCUUAUCUUAUCCUUAUGCUGAUCCCAGACUCCUCGAGGGCAAAGUCCGGGACUCAUUCAUCUUCUCUGGUCUGGCAGCCCGACGCAGUAGGUGUUUGAAUAAGUGCACGCUGAAGGAGCACGUCUGUGAAUGAAGAUGCUUGGGGGAGGGGCAGCAGAAGCCCGGAGCAGUCAGCACAGUGCCCGCAGGGAGGAGGCCUCAGUAAAUUCCAGCCAGCCGCUUCCUCACUAUCUCCACACAUCCGUGGACCAAGGUGAUGCUGACUAGGGCGGCUGAGCGUACACACAAAUUAACUGUCCACCCUCAAAGAAAGGACGUCAGGGAAGAAGUGGUCAGAGUUGUGUGGCCUUGAUCGGGAAAGGUUCCCUGGGGAAGGUGAGUUGACUUCAGCUUUUGCUGAGGUGAAGCCCAGGAAGAGGUCGUGAGCACUGGAGGGGCUGAAGGAGUGACAGGGGCAACGGUGGGUGCAGAAAGGGGAAGCUGGCAUUCAUGCGGUCGGCCCGGAAGCCCGCUCUUCUGCAGGCUGCACUCCCAGCGGC